rnacentral:lncRNA from 1 species
UCAUUGUAAAGAAUUCGGAUGAUGUUUCCAUUUGUUUCAUAUGAAAAUAGACUAAUUAAGUAUUCUAAGCAUAUAAAUUAUAACUCAUAUUCAUUUUUGUACAAUUUUUAAUGAUUUUCCAAAGUCAGAACAGGGGAACCCGAAUUCAUUCUGACCUUGUCUCACAAAAUCUAUUAUAUCUCAUGAUUUCCAAUUCCAUUGAUUAAACCAUUUCUUCUAUGAGAAACUAGACUCAACAAGCUUCAAUUUCAUAUUUUAUUCAUCCUAUAAUUCGAUCUCUAAAAUUUUUGGUGAAUUUUUAAAGUUGGACUACUGCUGCUGUCCAAAACUGUUUUAGUGUAUGAUGUUAAUUACCAUUUUUCCCUAAACUUUCAAUAAAUGAUAAUUUCAUCCCUGCUCAAUUAACCUCUCAAUUGAGCUGGUUUUUCUCAAUUAACACUUUAUCCCAUCACUUUAAACUACUUUAUAAGCUUUGGAAAUCAAAAUUUUAGUACUAGACUUUAAUUCCAAACUUUUUCACAAUUAGGUCCUAUAAAACAAUUUCUAUUGAAAUUACCUAAUAAAAUCAUCUCAUAAAUAAGUUAAAGCUUCAAUUUCAUGCUAUUUCAUCAUAAAAUCCCAGCACAUAUAGCAACUUUCAACUUCACCCAUAAAAUCAAAAACUAAUGAAUUUAAUAAUAGGACCUAGUUGUAAAAGUCUUAGAAACACAAAAAUUACAAGAAAAAGGCAAGGAUUAACUCACUUGGGGCAAAAAUUAUCAAAAACCAGCUUGAAGAACCCCUUAGGACGUUUUUGGCUGAUGGGAAUGCAGAAAAAUAAAGAGGAAUCUAGAUAAUUCCACUUUAGUCCUACCUUUUAAAGCAAAUUUUGCAAUAUUCCAAUUUUACCCUUAAUUCUUCAAUUCUACUAUUUUUCUCAGCGUAUGCCGCCCAAAAUAUCUUCUUUUGGGGUUAUUUGUAAUUUAUGUCCCUCCACAUUUAACAAUUGAGCUAUUUAAUCCUUCUAGUAACUUUUACACCUUUUUCAAUUUAGUCCUUUUCACUUAAUUGACUACCCAAACAUUAAAAUUUUCUAACGAAAUUUUAAUACCAUAUUACUAACACUUCAUAAAUAUUUAUAAAAAUAUUUUUGACUCGGUUUUACGAGGUCGAAAUCUCGAUACCUUAUUUUUACCCAAUUUCUUCUAUAAUUUCUUUUUCUAACUAACCACUAAAUCGGUAAAAUUUUUCUAUCAAUAUUUUCAUACUAUUUUCC